UACGUAGGGGGCUAGCGUUGUCCGGAAUCAUUGGGCGUAAAGAGCGUGUAGGCGGUCCGGUAAGUCCGCUGUGAAAUCCCAGGGCUUAACCCUGGAAGUGCGGUGGAUACUGUAAGACUAGAGUAUCGGAGGGGUGCGUGGAAUUCCCGGUGUAGCGGUGAAAUGCGCAGAUAUCAGGAGGAACACCGGUGGCGAAGGCGGGUCUCUGGGCCGAUACUGACGCUGAGGAGCGACAGCGUGGGGAGCAAACAGG
rnacentral:rRNA from 1 species